rnacentral:rRNA from 1 species
GACAGAGGGUGCAAACGUUGCUCGGAAUCACUGGGCGUAAAGGGCGUGUAGGCGGGAAGGAAAGUCAGAUGUGAAAUCCCUGGGCUCAACCCAGGAACUGCAUUUGAAACUCCCUUUCUUGAGUGUCGGAGGGGAAAGCGGAAUUCCUGGUGUAGAGGUGAAAUUCGUAGAUAUCAGGAGGAACACCGGUGGCGAAGGCGGCUUUCUGGACGACAACUGACGCUGAGACGCGAAAGCGUGGGGAGCAAACAGG